rnacentral:rRNA from 1 species
CCCUUAGAUGUUCUGGGCCGCACGCGCGCUACACUGAUGCAUUCAACGAGCCUAUCCUUGACCGACAGGUCCGGGUAAUCUUUGAAUCUGCAUCGUGACGGGGAUAGAUUAUUGCAAUUAUUAAUCUUCAACGAGGAAUGCCUAGUAGGCGCAAGUCAUCAGCUUGCGUCGAUUGCGUCCCUGCCCUUUGUACACACCGCCCGUCGCUCCUACCGAUUGGGUGUGCUGGUGAAAUGUUCGGAUCGGCCGUUUGUCGCGGUUUCCGCGGCUCGUGGCUGAGAAGUUCAUUAACCCCUCCCACCUAGAGGAAGGAGAAGUCGUAACA